UACGUAGGGUGCGAGCGUUGUCCGGAAUUAUUGGGCGUAAAGAGCUUGUAGGCGGUUUGUCGCGUCUGCCGUGAAAUUUCGAGGCUCAACCUCGAACUUGCGGUGGGUACGGGCAGACUAGAGUGUGGUAGGGGAGACUGGAAUUCCUGGUGUAGCGGUGGAAUGCGCAGGAGUAUCAGGAAGAACACCCGUGGCGAAGGCGGCUCUCUGGGACGGUACUGACGCUGAGACGCGAAAGCGUGGGGAGCGAACAGG
rnacentral:rRNA from 1 species